CCCGGGCCUUGUACACACCGCCCGUCACACCAUGGAAGCUGACUCCAACCAGAAGACAGUUAGGUUAACCGUAACGGGGACCGCUGGCCAAGGUGGGGUUGGUGACUGGGGUG
rnacentral:rRNA from 1 species